CUCACAACUUCAGUAAUAUUAUAAAAAAAACAGAAGACUCACACUGAGACAUACAUAAAUCCACACAGACAGAGAUCUUCUAGUUUUCCGCCUCAGAUUUAAAAUCUCUUUGACCUCCUUUUUUUGGGGCGGAGGCAAGAAUACUGGAGU